CCCUUAGAUGUUCUGGGCCGCACGCGUGCUACACUGAGUGGAUCAGCGGGUCAGGUUGCGCGAAAGCGUUUCCUAAUCUUUAAAUCCGCUCGUGAUGGGGAUUGACGGUUGCAAUUUUCUGUCAUGAACGAGGAAUACCUUGUAAGCGCGGGUAAUCAUCCCGCGCUGAAUACGUCCCUGCCCUUUGUACACACCGCCCGUCGCUCCUACCGAUUGAGUGGUCCGGUGAGGCUUUGGGAUCUGAGCGGAAAGAGCGUUUCGCUGUUUCUGCUCGGAAAACUCAGUCGAACCUUAUCAUUUAGAGGAAGGAGAAGUCGUAACA
rnacentral:rRNA from 1 species